rnacentral:lncRNA from 1 species
AGAUGCAGCCCAGAGAGAUGAGCAUGUAACACACAGCAAGAAUGCAGCCACCAGGCAAGCCAAGGAGAGAGCCUUCAGAAGAAACCAACCCUGCCGACACCUUGACCUCAGACUUCCAGCCUCUAAAACGAUUGAAGACAAUGCUGAUCAUACUAUCAACCAUGAAGGACUGUGCUGAGGAUUGAAUGAGAAUACAUUCAGGCCACGGAACACAGUGUGUAUAUAUUACACAUGCUCCAAAAAGGCUAGCUGCUACUAUGAAGUUGGAUAAAUUGACUCAGGAAAGGGCAGAAUGAACUUGAUAUUGUGACUGUACAUUUCAGAGAGGCCCCAAAGAGCAAAUAUUCAGAUCACAGCAUUCACUCCCGGAAUAAGCAUAUUCGAAAACCCUUUCUUUGUCAAGCACGAUACGUGGAGGGAGACUCAUUCUGUUUCAGAAAGCUGAGAGUUAAGUGGCCAAGAUAACCCCAAAAGACAAUCCUAAUAGAUGUGGUGGACACAACAGCAGAAAUAUGGCCACAGGUGUCACAUUUCCAGGUAUAGCUACUAAAUUUCCAUGGACACAAAUGUAGUGUAAAGACACAUCUAAUUAAUUUUUUAAAAUUUGCUGGAUUCUGUUAUUGCAAAACCCGGGAAUUUGGACUAUGGUAUAGUGGUGGUUGCGUAAACAUGGCGUCAUACUUAGUUUCUUGAGCCGUUGCCAGAUGUGCAGCUAUUAUGUAACAACACCCCUGAAAGGUGCUUUGAACAAAUGGAACUUUCAUGUUCCUUAACCAUAUAAAUGUCUAUGUUCAGAGCAAUACAAUGAAGAUUGCCAGAAAGACAAUUGCCCCAAGCACAUUCAUAUUUCCAGCUGACUAUACUUUUUCCAUCUGAAUGUACUUCCUGUUGUUCUUGUGGGGCUUUUAUAUAAAUCACUUCAAUUUUAAACCAGUUUAAACUUUAUGUGAGUAUAUACUGUGUAGAUUAAAAAAAUAAGCAGAAUCAACUUUCUUUUACUCAACUAAUGAUUGUAGUGGUGCUAUUUAGAUUGCAUACUACCAACAUUGUCCCUCAGGCUAAAUCUUCCUUGACAAAUGUUGGAUGUUGAGCUAUCACUUUUAUCUACCCCAUCUAAAAUGAUAGUUGCAGCCAAGAUUUCAGAAUUUAUUUACCAGCAGCAAAUUUUUACAACUAUUCAUUUAACCAGCAUUAUUGAGUACCUACAAUGUACACAGCGUAUCAGACAUGAAAUCACAAAUGGAAUUCCUCUUUUCACUUAGCAAAGGUCAACGUCAUAUUGUUUCAGCCAACCUGUUUGCUUACCGCAAUGUAGAAUACCAUCUGCACAGAGACAAAGGCCUUCAGUGCAGGUUCCUUAGAAGAACAACUGUGGAAACAUGUAAGUUUUACAACAAAAAGCCAUUGAAAUGAUCCAUGCUCUAAAGAUAUGCACCAGAAGGAUCUCACCAAAAAAUAAUAACGAGAAAAAUAUUUUGAGCUCCCAACAAGUAUAUAGUGAAGAAGGAAUACUUUCUUGCUGGGCACAGUCCACAGGACUUGUUGAGGAGGAUGGAUUUUAUUUUGUGAAAGGCCCUUUUAUGGGCAUGGAGACAUGUCUGAUACACAAAGCUGAAUUGAAGUGAAGUGGCUAGAGAGGGAGCUGAAUUUCUCUGCAUGACAAAGAGAUUGAGAAAGGUGGCGUUUCCAAAAUCGAUCUGGGAUGGAGGAAGUAUAAGGGGGACAAUUGGGACGUGGGAGAGAGGAGAGAAAACGAGGAGAUAGAGGAGAGGUUUAUAACACCGUGUCUUGAGGGGACAAGGGAAAUUCCCAGUGGGGGCAGGUCAAAGACUUAUGAGAAUAAGGAAGUCUACAGGUAUAAAGACCCCUUCAUUGAGCUCUCCACAUGAAUACCAGUUCCUUAUAUAUAUAGGUGGAGUUUUGAAGAAAUGAAGGUACACUGUCCCCACCAGAAGAGUGUUACAAUACAAGCAGGGUGGCCUAAGCAAGACCUGGGGAGAACCAUGAGCCGUUCUCCAUCAGGAGAAGCUCUUGCUGAACUAUAUGCAGAAAACCCUCCUUGCCCCAGGUUUAUCAAUUUCACUGAACACUUGAGGUCAGCUUUGUACCUCCUCAAUCCAUAAAACGUAGGUUUGAAUCACUUUAACCUAGAGGUUAAGGGAAAGAUGAACUCACCCAGCUAAUAUUUGGAGGACACAAAAAAUGACAAAGGUACUUGUAUUACAAAAGGUUCUCCAGAGAAAUACAACUCAAUAGGAUGUGUGUGUGUGUGUG